GCUGGCGGCCGCCUAACACAUGCAAGUCGAACGCAGUAGCAAUACUGAGUGGCAAACGGGUGAGUAUAAUGUGGGAAUCUGCCUUUUGGUUUGGAAUAACACGGGGAAACUUGUGCUAAUACCGAAUAAGCCCUUACGGGGAAAGUUUUAAUGCCGAAAGAUGAGCCCGCACUUGAUUAGCUAGUUGGUAAGGUAAAAGCUUACCAAGGCAACGAUCAAUAGCUGUUCUUAGAGGAAGACCAGCCACAUUGGGACUGAGACACGGCCCAGACUCCUACGGGAGGCAGCAGUGGGGAAUCUUGCACAAUGGGGGAAACCCUGAUGCAGCGAUGCCGCGUGAGUGAAGAAGGCCUUUGGGUUGUAAAACUCUUUCGUCGGGGAAGAAAAUGACUGUACCCGAAUAAGAAGGUCCGGCUAACUUCGUGCCAGCAGCCGCGGUAAUACGAAGGGACCUAGCGUAGUUCGGAAUUACUGGGCUUAAAGAGCUCGUAGGUGGUUAAAAAAGUUGAUGGUGAAAUCCCAAGGCUCAACCUUGGAACUGCCAUCAAAACUUUUUAGCUAGAGUGUGAUAGAGGUAAGUGGAAUUUCUAGUGUAGAGGUGAAAUUCGUAGAUAUUAGAAAGAACACCAAAUGCGAAGGCAACUUACUGGGUCACUACUGACACUGAGGAGCGAAAGCAUGGGUAGCGAAGAGGAUUAGAUACCCUCGUAGUCCAUGCCGUAAACGAUGUGUGCUAGACGUUGGAAAUAUAUUUUUCAGUGUCGCAGCGAAAGCAUUAAGCACACCGCCUGGGGAGUACGACCGCAAGGU
rnacentral:rRNA from 1 species